AACGAACGUUGGCGGCAGGCUUAACACAUGCAUGUCGAGCGCCCCGCAAGGGGAGCGGCAGACGGGUGAGUAACGCGUGGGAAUCUACCCAUCUCUACGGAAUAACGCAUGGAAACGUGUGCUAAUACCGUAUACGUCCUUCGGGAGAAAGAUUUAUCGGAGAUGGAUGAGCCCGCGUUGGAUUAGCUAGUUGGUGGGGUAAAGGCCUACCAAGGCGACGAUCCAUAGCUGGUCUGAGAGGAUGAUCAGCCACACUGGGACUGAGACACGGCCCAGACUCCUACGGGAGGCAGCAGUGGGGAAUAUUGGACAAUGGGCGCAAGCCUGAUCCAGCCAUGCCGCGUGAGUGAUGAAGGCCCUAGGGUUGUAAAGCUCUUUCACCGGUGAAGAUAAUGACGGUAACCGGAGAAGAAGCCCCAGCUAACUUCGUGCCAGCCGCCGCCGUAAUAC
rnacentral:rRNA from 1 species